rnacentral:rRNA from 1 species
CUAGCCGUAAACGAUGGAUACUAGGCGUUGUGAGUAUCGACCCUCACAGUGUCGUAGCUAACGCGUUAAGUAUCCCGCCUGGGGAGUACGCGCGCAAGCGUGAAACUCAAAGGAAUUGGCGGAGGCCCGCACAAGCGGUGGAGUAUGUGGUUUAAUUCGAUGCAACGCGAAGAACCUUACCAGGACUUGACAUGUCGCGAAUCUCAGGGAAACUUGAGAGUGCCUUCGGGAGCGCGAACACAGGUGGUGC